rnacentral:rRNA from 1 species
UACGUAGGGUGCAAGCGUUAAUCGGAAUUACUGGGCGUAAAGCGUGCGCAGGCGGUGAUGUAAGACAGAUGUGAAAUCCCCGGGCUCAACCUGGGAACUGCAUUUGUGACUGCAUCGCUGGAGUACGGCAGAGGGGGGAUGGAAUUCCGCGUGUAGCAGUGAAAUGCGUAGAUAAUCGGAAGGAACACCAGUGGCGAAAGCGGCUUCCUGGUCCGACACCGACGUUCAGGCACGAAAGCGUGGG